rnacentral:lncRNA from 10 species
GCCAAUCAAAUUCUUUAUUGCAUAAAAUUUCAUUUGUUUAUUCAUGAAUGAAUUUAUAAAGCACCUACUUGACGAGGAGCCCUGGUAGUCACUAACAGGAACAACCAAAUGUAUUUGACAUGACCUGUACUCUCUAAGAACUCCUAACACAUCUUGUAAGAUAAAUCAUAUACAAAUAGUAACAAGAAGGGGAUAAAGAUUGUUUAUGGGUAAUUGUUCUCUUUACUUAUUCAUUACUUACUCACAAAAUAACUACAAACAAAUCACAAAUCUAAGUCAAGGGGAUAAUCUAAAAAGCUCCUUGAGUUUCUUAGAGAAAGUGUCUAGAUACUAGUAUUAGGACCAUGACAGCUUUGCAAACCUGGUACUUACAUAGCAGCCAUGAUGAUGGCCUGGCAUGUGUUUUUAAAUCUUUGGAGCUGCUUUGUUACCUUCUUUGUGUCCCAUUCUUAUCUUCUCCUAAUCAUGCCCUUACAUUGUCCCAUUAACUUUCAUGUCCCUAAAAUGACUCUGUUGCCCUAGCUUGCCCUUCCUGACCUAGUUAUUCCUUGAAAUUAACUUUAAUCAACAAAUACUAAUAUUGAAAACCUACUCAGUAAAAAGACAACGAAUUUAUAUAUCAAAACUUUUCUUUCCUGAAGGUCAUCCUCUCUUGGAGUUUCCUAAAAAUUCAAUUGCUAAAGCUGUGAUAUUGGUACAAUAUGAAUAGGUGAUAGUGAUUUGAAAGACGGUCAGUACCAAACCAGUGGUACCUUCUAAGAGUGGUCCUCAAUGCUUUAAAUCUGAGUUUCUCAAAGUUUUGUGGAACCUGGAUAGCUCAGUGAGAUGUUUCUUGAGCAAAGAGCUUCCCAUGGUAAAGAAAAAAAAAAAGACGGGGAGGUGGGGAAUCAUGCCUAUAUGUCCUUUAAGAUGAGUAUGAGUAUUUCACAAUCCUACUGUAGAAGAUAUGUUUAACUAUUUUUUUUUUUUUUUUGAGAUGGAGUCUCACUCUGUUGCCCAGGCUGGAGUGCAGUGGUGCGAUCUCGGCUCACGGCAAGCUCCGUCGCCUGGGUUCACGCCAUUCUCCUGCCUCAGCCUCCCACGUAGCUGGUACUACAGGCACCCGCCACCACACCUGGCUAAUUUUUUGUAUUUUUUAGUAGAGACGGGAUUUCACCGUGUUAGCCAGGAUGGUCUCGAUCUCCUGACCUCGUGAUCCGCUCACCUUGGCCUCCCAAAGUGCUGGAAUUACAGGUGUGAGCCACCGCACCCGGCCGAUAUGUUUAACUAUUUAACCCAGUGUUUUCUAAACUUAUUUAGACAUGAUCGUCUCUUGCAAAAUACUUUCAGAAGCCUGCUUUGGGAAAAGCCUGUUCGGGAAAAGCCUGCUUUAAUUGAAAAUAAUUUUACCUCUUCUGUCAGAUCCUUGAAAGAAGGCUAUUUGGAAGUGUAGGUAUUCUAUAUUAAACUACAUAUAAAAUAAUAAAGCAAAAAUCAAUAUGAGGGAGAAUUCAUACUAUUCCUUAGGAAGAUCUAAAUAUGAUUAAUAAUUAAAGUGCUGUCCAGCAAUAAUCAGUUUGAUGCAUCUGUGAGGAUAAUCCUAUUCAUGAAGCAUUAUUAUUAGUGUUUAUUACUAUUGCUACUAGAAAUAAGCAUUUUUAUAUACUAUAAGAUGUUCGCAGUUAGCAGAAAAACACAUUCAGAAGGAAAAAAAACCAGUAUCAUCUCAUAAUUACCCCACCCUGUAUUUGCUUAUUUUCAUGUCUUCAAAUAUAUCUUCUAUUUAAAUCUGAUUAAAGCUAUAGCUGGGAAUGUGCCAGAUGUGUCUGCCAGUUCCAUUGGAAACAUAGCCAAGCCUCAGAUAUAGUCCCUGUCCUCAUGGAGCUCACGGUAUAAGGGAGGAAAAGUGACCCAUAGAUACAUAAUGUCCAUACUGCAUGAGAAGAAAUGCUUUAGAGACAAAACAGAAGGAGAAAGAACAAUGGAAGAAUUAUAGUCUACAUAAAGAAAUCAUCAUGAACAAAAAAAGCAAAGGAGAAAAACUGCUGGAUCAAUGCAGGAAACUGCCCUAGAGGCACUGGCGAUCAACAAUGGAGACAGGUCAACCUGGAGAUGUCAUCAUGGGUCAGUUCAUGAAAGGGCUGACAUGUCACGCUGAAGAGCUGUUUCUCUAUUCUCAGGACCCAGGUCUCCAAAGGGGUGUGCAAUUAUCCAAGAAUGACACAGAAAGAAAUAAAAAUAUGUAAAAUUUCUGUACAGUUCUGGAGGCAGGAAGUCCAAGAUCAGGCAGCUGCUUUUGGUCAGCUUCUGGGUGAGGGCCUCAUGCUGUAUCAUAGCAUGGCGCAAGUGGAAGGGAAACUGGACAUCU